rnacentral:lncRNA from 1 species
GCUAUAUCUUUUAUACAUUUUCACUAAAAUAUCCAUGAAGUAUAUAAUCCCAUCAUUCUAUAGUUGAAAGAAUCUUGACACAUAUUAGAUUGUGUGUCUCUAAAGGGCAUAUAAUUAAGUAUGAAUGAGGGUUUUUUUUUAUCGGUGACGUUUUAUAUUAAUUCGUAACCAAAAGAGCAUUGAAACCAACACCCCCACCCCCCA